GUGCUUGCUUUGACAGCACAUAUACUAAAACUGGAACAAUACAGAGAGAAUUAGCCUGGCCUGCGUAAGGAUGACAUGCAAAUUCAUGAAGUGUUCCAUAUUUUA
rnacentral:snRNA from 1 species